CUACUAACGUGUUCGGAACAUAUUCUUUAUCGGUGUUAAGUAGAGCGUAAAAUCAAAGACUAUCGAAUGAAAUAUAAUCUCGCUGCUCCGAGACUCCAACGCGAGCUACCUGAGACCCGGUGAAUUUUCUACCGGAUAUGGAUGUGCUUUAAGGAAUUCCAGUGUUAAUUGUACUUUUUGGGGACUUUGAGUGAUUCACCACCCUCUGAACAAAUGUAUUUUGAGAUCCUCAAAGAAGUCAUAUGUUUUAAUUGCUGCCCAUCAAAUAGUACAGUGUCUUUGUGUAAAUUAGAUUCAUUUUGAGGAAAUAGCUGGUGUGCAGUGCACAUUCCUAAAUUAAUUCAUCAGUUUACAUUAAGGAUCUACCUUCAAAUCCUGUAAUCUGGGAUGCUCUAAAGUGCAUGUCACAGACUAAAGUUAUAAAAAUAACUUCCAAGAAUUUUUAAGAAAUUGUUAUAACUUUAAAAUGUAUGUAUAUAUACUGAUAUUGAAUUAAAUUUUGUAAACUUUCA